rnacentral:rRNA from 1 species
AGAGUUUGAUCAUGGCUCAGAUUGAACGCUGGCGGAAUGCUUUACACAUGCAAGUCGAACGGCAGCACGGACUUCGGUCUGGUGGCGAGUGGCGAACGGGUGAGUAACAUAUCGGAACGUAUCCAAUAAUGGGGGAUAACUAAUCGAAAGGUUGGCUAAUACCGCAUACGCCCUGAGGGGGAAAGCUAGGGAUCUUCGGACCUGGCGUUAAUGGAGCGGCCGAUAUCUGAUUAGCUAGUUGGUGGGGUAAAGGCCCACCAAGGCGACGAUCAGUAGCUGGUCUGAGAGGACGACCAGCCACACUGGAACUGAGACACGGUCCAGACUCCUACGGGAGGCAGCAGUGGGGAAUUUUGGACAAUGGGCGCAAGCCUGAUCCAGCCAUUCCGCGUGAGUGAAGAAGGCCUUCGGGUUGUAAAGCUCUUUCGCAAGGGAAGAAAACUUAUCCUCUAACAUAGGAUGAGGUUGACGGUACCUUGAUAAGAAGCACCGGCUAACUACGUGCCAGCAGCCGCGGUAAUACGUAGGGUGCGAGCGUUAAUCGGAAUUACUGGGCGUAAAGCGUGCGCAGGCUGUUUUGUAAGUCAGAUGUGAAAUCCCCGAGCUCAACUUGGGAACUGCGUUUGAAACUACAAGACUAGAAUAGGUCAGAGGGGGGUAGAAUUCCACGUGUAGCAGUGAAAUGCGUAGAGAUGUGGAGGAAUAUCAAUGGCGAAGGCAGCCCCCUGGGAUCAUAUUGACGCUCAUGCACGAAAGCGUGGGGAGCAAACAGGAUUAGAUACCCUGGUAGUCCACGCCCUAAACGAUGUCUACUAGUUGUUGGUGGAGUAAAAUCCAUGAGUAACGCAGCUAACGCGUGAAGUAGACCGCCUGGGGAGUACGGUCGCAAGAUUAAAACUCAAAUGAAUUG